rnacentral:rRNA from 1 species
CACGAGGGUCUCACUGUCUUAAGGAAAUUUCCAGUGAAAUUGAAUUUGUAGUGAAGAUGCUACAUCCAAAUUGUUAGACAAGAAGUCCCCAUGGAACUUUACUGGAGACUUAUGUGGCUUAAAUUAAUUUAUUUCUUACAAAUAAAUAGUUUUAAAAUGUGGUGUUAACCCCUCGGAUUAACUAGGGUUAUAAAGCUCACUCUUUUAUUUAAAGAAAGCCAACUCAAAAAUUUAUGUCUUUGGGAUUUUGAUAAGUGGGACAGUUUGGUUGGGGCGACCGCCUUUAAAAAAGUAACGAAGGCGGGCUUAAGAUACAUAUUUAGUGAUGUCUGACUGCCAAGGGGAGAUCCUGAGCAGACACUUACUUUUUAGGUGGGUUUAAGUGACCCGUUGAUUUAGGGUGAAAUAGUUAACGAUAAACA